ensembl:snRNA Gm22946 predicted gene, 22946
AUCGCUUCUCGGCCUUUUGGCUAAGAUCAAGUGUAGUAUCAAAUAAACUAGACACCUGGGAGCUCCCCAUGAAUAAGCCAUA